UUUCUUUUUUCUCUACUUCUACUUAUCUUUCCCCAUUUCUCCUUUUCUUUUGCCUCUCCUCUCUCCCUGAUCUUCUUCUAUCCCCCACCACCGUGCACCACCAUCUCUCCACCGCAGGCAACCGCACCACGUCACCGCUACCACCACUCCACUAUGUCGCCGUCACCGACCAAGGUCACGGCAUCUCCACCCACCCCUUUCACAAAAUAUAUAAGCGUUACGAAAUGGGGCCCCAGUUGGAAUCGCUGAAGAUAUGAUGCUCCGGCCAGAUUUCGAUGUCGAAUACUUCGAUGGUGAUGUCAGAUCUGUAGUCAAUUUCUGACCAGAGGUCGCACUAGUUUCCGAGACAAGCGAACUGAGGGAGCUCAUAGUGUGAAGGUCGCAACGACAGUCCUCAAAGACGGCGAACAUGGAGGGUGGUUGUCCGAGAGAAGCGACUUGUUGAUCUGUGCGAUGCAGGGCAUGCCUUCCACCGACGCCACAGUGUCGUGAAGUAACGGCAGAGCCAGUCGGAGAAGAUAAAGGUGGACGCCAUCGGGAAGUCGUCGUGCCGAAAACAGCUCCAGCGGUCAGAGACCUUGAAGCGAAGGGAGAGUUCACAGGAAAUUUUGUACCCAUCUCCUUUCUUUGUUCACGCAGCGCUGCUUCUCUAAAAGACCUGAAACACGUCUAGGGUUUUCUUCAUUUUUCCUUUAAAAUUAUUUCUAUUACACGUCUAGGGUUGAUAUUACAUGUGUAGUUUCUACUCUUUGCUUGAUUCUUUAUGUAUUGAGAUUUAUGGUUGUAUUCACCAAUACUGAAUUGGGUCAAUGUAGCAUUGUAAUGAUUCUGUUUUUUUUUCCUACUGUAUUUGUUAGUAUAUAGUUUCCAUGUAAGAUAUACUUGUAUUUGUUUUGCCUAGACACUUAGUUUAUAAAGGCUUGAUGGUGCUUCCCUUCUCUGUCCCCAAAGGUGAAGGAUUCAAGGUGAUUAAAAUUGUUCUGUAAAUUGGGUCGAUUUAUGGUGGAUUCAGUGUGUUAUAUGGUUGAAGAGAA